UCCCUAUAACUCAGUGGUAGAGUACUGGAGCGUAAAAUCAGGCGUCCGGGUUCGAUUUCCGGUAAGGGAG
rnacentral:tRNA from 1 species